GCCAAUGUAGCUCAGUCGGUAGAGCAGCUGAUUCGUAAUCAGCAGGCCAGGGGUUCGAGUCCCCUCAUUGGCUCCA
rnacentral:tRNA from 1 species